UACGGAGGAUGCGAGCGUUAUCCGGAUUUAUUGGGUUUAAAGGGUGCGUAGGCGGCCUGCUAAGUCUGGAGUGAAAGGUACCGGCUCAACCGGUACAGGCUCUGGAAACUGGCGGGCUAGAGUGCAGGAGAGGUAAGUGGAAUUCCUAGUGUAGCGGUAAAAUGCGUAGAUAUAUGGAAGAACACCAGUGGCGAAGGCGGCCGCCUGGCCUGUUACUGACGCUGAGGCACGAAAGCGUGGGGAGCAAACAGG
rnacentral:rRNA from 1 species